AAACUCUGCCUUCCGUGAUGCUUCCCAAGACAGUGCUCAGGUGCCCCGCUCCUGUUGCAACUCGAGUGUCACUGCAGAGCAACAGACAAAGAUAACCAAGUCAUUCUAAGCUGCAAUUGGUGGCAUAUAUUGUGACAGAAGCUCGACCUAGUUCUCCAAGACAGGUCCUUGAAAAGAGGAAACAUGACUCUGGAGAAGAUUCCUGGAAAACUGAAACAGCUUUCAAGAAGUGAAACAAAAAAUGCUAAGAAACAAUCCAAGGUGUUAACAUAUA